rnacentral:tRNA from 1 species
GAGGGUGUGGCUCAGUGGUAGAGCAUGUGCUUAGCACGCACGAGGUCCUGGGCUCAAGCCCCCGUACCUCCA